GACGAACGCUGGCGGCGUGCUUAACACAUGCAAGUCGAACGAUGAAGCCGGAGCUUGCUCUGGUGAAUUAGUGGCGAACGGGUGAGUAACACGUUAGUAACCUGCCCUUGACUCUGGGAUAACUGCUAGAAAUGGUAGCUAAUACCGGAUACGACCCUCGGAGGCAUCACCAGGGGGUGGACAGAAUUUCGGGAAAGACUGGACUCGGGGCCUAUCAGCUAGUUGGUGAGGUAAUGGCUCACAACGGCGACGACGGGUAGCCGGCCUGAGAGGGUGACCGGCCACACUGGGACUGAGAAACGGCCCAGACUCCUACGGGAGGCAGAAGUGGGGAAUAUUGCACAAUGGGCGCAAGCCUGAUGCAGCAACGCCGCGUGAGGGAUGACGGCCUUCGGGUUGUAAACCUCUUUUAGUAGGGAAGAAGCGAAAGUGACGGUACCUGCAGAAAAAGCACCGGCUAACUACGUGCCAGCCGCCGCCGUAA
rnacentral:rRNA from 1 species